rnacentral:lncRNA from 1 species
GACUAGAGUUCCUGACCUCCAGGCCAGUCCCUGAUCCCUGACCUAAUGUUAUCGCGGAAUGAUGAACACUGCCUGGCCCUGGAGCCACUGGGAAGCCAACAGGGGAGUCCACGCCUGCUGGUGGGGGGAGCCCGGGAGGGCCCGGGAGAAGCACAAAGGGUGGGCUGUGUUGAGCUUCUUCUUUUCUUCCAGUAAAGAGGCUGGAGAGGAGCUGGGCCCAGGGCUCCUCAGAGCAGGAACUCCACUAUGCAUCUCUGCAGAGGCUGCCAGUGCCCAGCAGUGAGGGACCUGACCUCAGGGGCAGAGACAAGAGAGGCACCAAGGAGGAUCCAAGAGCUGACUAUGCCUGCAUUGCUGAGAACAAACCCACCUGAGCACCCCAGACACCUUCCUCAACCCAGGCGGGUGGACAGGGUCCCCCUGUGGUCCAGCCAGUAAAAACCAUGGUCCCCCCACUUCUGUGUCUCAGUCCUCUCAGUCCAUCUCGAGCCUCCGUUCAAAUUGAUCAUCAUCAAAACUUAUGUGGCUUUUUGACCUUUGAAUAGGGAAUUUUUUAAAUUUUUUAAAAAUUAAAAUAAAAAAAACACAUGGCUCACCCUUCCACCCA